UUUUUUUUUUUUUUCCUUCUCUUCAAGACAGGGUUUCUCUGUGUAGCCCUGGCUAUCCUGGAACUCACUCUGUAGACCAGGCUGACCUCGAACUCAGAAAUCUGCCUGCCUCUGCCUCCCUAGUGCUGGGAUUAAAGACGUGAGCCACCACACCCAGCUUUUUUUUUUCCCCUUAGUUUUUAAAAUCUAGACUUGAUAGUUCUACUUCAGAAAAAGAAAGAAAGAAAGAAGGAAAAGUACCUUAUACUUGUGGGCAUUAAAUGGGAGAACCUAAGAAUUCCUGUUUAAGCUAUGGCAAAGUCCCCUGACUGGCCCCUGAAGGGUGUACUUCCCUCAUCCAAACCAACCGCUGUUCCUCUAUUCCAAGAGGCAGCAGCGGGCUCUGUUCUCAGGGAUAGGUAAGCAGAGGUCUCAGCAGGCAAUAGGGAUUCUUUAUCUUCUAGUGCCAAGGUUGAGGCGGGAGGAUUAUGAGUUCAAGGCUAGCCUGGACUAAUUAGCCAGACUACCUAGAAAACAGACUAAGAUAAACCAAACCCUCCCUGAAAUGUGGUUAUAUCAUGAACCAUGAAAGUUCACAUUAAUUUUCCUCCUUGCUACCAAGGGGUAUAUGUGUGUGUGUAAGUAUGUGUGUGUUAAGACACUGGUCUUAAUAUAUACAUAUAUACGUGUGUGUGUGUGUGUGUGUGUGUGUGUGUGUGUGUGUGUGUAUGUAUUUUAUACUAGCCUUGAACUUGAAAUCCCCCUGCCUGUGUGUGGGUUUUAGCACAAAUCUGUGUUUAUAGAACUGCAAUUCAGUUAAAAUCAGUAAACUUCAUACUAGGAAUAUGUUUUGUUAAAAAGACGGUUUGUUCUCCCUUACAUUUUAAAGAACAUAGGCCAGUAGUCAGGUAGAAGGACCUAGACACUGGGCUUCUUUGCAGUAUUAUCCAGGGUUGUUUGUUUGUUUGUUUGUUUGUUUUCGUUUUUUGAGACAGGGUUUCUCUGUAUAGCCCUGGCUGUCCUGGAACUCACUCUGUAGACCAGGCUGGCCUCGAACUCAGAAAUCCACCUGCCUUUGCCUCCCAAGUGCUGGGAUUCAAGGUGUGCGCCAUCACUGCCUGGCUUAUCCAGGGUUUUAUAUUUUAAGCAAAAUAAUGAAUGUGUCUCUGGGCUCCUUUGCUUAGUAUCUCUAAUUAUGUUCUUUUGUUUGUUUGUUUUGUUUUUGUUUUUGUUUUCAAGGCAGCAUUUCUCUGUAUAACUGCUCCCUGGCUGGCCUUGAACUCACAGAGAUCCGCUUGCCUCUGCCUCCCGAGUGCUAUAAUUAAAGGUGUACACUACCAUGCCGAGCUCUAAUUUUAUUUUUAAUAUUUAUUUAAGCCGGUCAGUGGUGGCACAGGCCUUGAAUCCCAGCACUUGGGAGGCAGAGGCGGGCGGAUUUCUAAGUUUGAGGCCAGCCUGGUCCACAGAGUGAGUUCCAGGACAGCCAGGGCUACACAGAGAAACCCUAUCUCGAAAAACAAACAAACAAACAAACAAACAAAAGUUUUAUUUAUUUUAUGUAUGUGAGUACACUGUUGCUCUCUUCAGACAUACCAGAAGAGGGUAUCUGAUCCAAUUUUAGGUGGUUGAGAGCCUCCAUGUGGUUGCUGGGAAUUGAACUCAAGACCUGGUUGAGAGUAGUCAGUGCUCUUAACAGCUGAGCCAUCUCUCCAGCCUUCUAAUGAUGUUCUUAACAUUUGGAAGGUCUCCUACACUGGGUGGCUGCUUCCAUCCCCCCUCCCACCAUUUCCCCCAUCCCCAUUUCCUCACCUUUUCUUGCCUUUCAUCUCCCAUCCCUAAUUCUGCUUACCCUAGGAAGUUCCUUCAACCAGCAGGUGUAGAGAUCCUGCUGGGUUUUGUUGAUUAGGGAGUUGUUCUCUUGAAUGUUGGCACAUUACUCAACUUCACUGUCCUCAACUGAAAAGAAGGAAAGGAGAUGGGCCAGACCAUGUUUGUGGGGUGCCUGCUUCUUCCUUUUUGUCUCUCUUAUCUUUUUCCUCAUUCCCUGAUUUUUCUUAGAUGUCCUUGACUGUGGCCUUGUUUUCCCUUCCUCUUUUUAAAAAUGAUCAUUGUAUACCCUAAACUAGCCUCAGAUAUUUAGUCUUCCUACCUAAGGCCUACCUCCUCCUGUUUUUGAUAAAAUAAGCUAAUAAGACAAUGGAGGUGUGUAUGUGAAUGCUAUUAGAGAAAUAUUAAGGUAGUUAUUUAGAACUUACUUUUUUAGAGCCUUUAUUUGUUUUUGAGACAAGAGUCUCACUUUGUAGUCUUAAGCUGGCCUUGAACUUGCUGUGCUGUGAUUCUCUCAUAUAUGAGCUCGGCUGCAGGUAUGUGCCACUAAUGGCUUAGCAGCUACUCUUAUUUGUUUGGAGAAUUGCAUUCUUACCUAAUGAUGUGUUUGAAUCGUUGGUGCUUUAUGACUCAUUUCUCUAGUUGGAUGAUGUGAAAUGAAAGAUAGGUGCUUAUGUAACUGCAGCCUGUGUUACAGGACCCCACAGUUGCUUGGCCUUCUUGUACCUCCUUCCCAGUUAUCCUUUCCAUUCCAGUGCCUGCCCUGGGGAUAACACAGACCUUUCCUAGAGACAGACUGAUAGUUGGAGGUUGAUUGUAUGGAGGACGAUAGGCUUGUUGGACAGUGGACCAGAUGCCGGUGUUUAGUUGGUACAUAGGACAACGGAGGGAACUUGAGAAAAGGCUUUCAGAAAUAGAGGUCGGUACAAAAGUCUGUCUGCUCGUCUUCCUUCCUUAUUUCCUUUCAAGCUUUUUUAAAAUUCACUUUUAUGUAUAUGUGUGAGUGCCUAUGUGUAUACAUGUGCACCAUGCACAUUCCUGUGCCUGCUGACACCAGAAGAGGGUGUUGGAGCCCCUGGGGAACAGGUUGACUAGAGGGUGCUGAAAACUGAACCUAGGUUCAUUGCAAGAGCAGUAAGUGCUCUUAACUGCUGAGCCAUCUUUCUAGUCUCCGGGCUCUUACUUGUUUCCUAUAUAUGCUUUCUGUCCUGAGGCCUAUCAGAACCUUUGUCUCCCUUCUUAUAAGAGCCUUAGUUAGACCUGGUAAAUACUUGGGGGGGGGGGGAGUGAAGGCAUAAGAAAUAGUUUAAUUUUUUGCUUCUAGAUUUUACCAUUUCCUUAAAGAUGUAUUUAAUGUUCAACUUUUUUCUUUUAAGCAGUUUUGAGACAAAACUGGUACAAUAUGGUUAACUAACCAGUGAAAACAUAGGAAAUUAAUUACAAGUCACCUCACUCUACCCAUAUACUUAUCCUUCCAUGUUCCUGUACCUUAGGAAAACCCAAAACAUGCUACUUUAGAUUUUAAAAGAAAAAUUACUGUUUUAAAUAUCUAGUCUUAUCCCAGUGUGUCACCAUGCUGCUUUAGGUAGGACUGGGAGGACGCAAAAAAGUUCCUGAAAGUAAAAAGCUGCUGCUAGACAAAGAAUAGAUGGGCUGUCAUGUUGUGCCAAACAUACAGUGAGGACUUGAUCUUAUUCUUGUUAGUAGGAUGUGUGUUUUACCUCACUCCUCAUUGAUAAGUAACUUGGGAUGUUUCCUUGCUAGCUUGAUUUCCUUAUUCAGCCUGUCAGCUUCUGGCAAAUUCUUAUGACUCAUGGUUCUUUGGUAGAGCAUUUGUUGGAUCUUCUUUUUGUUUAUUUGUUUAGUUUUUGGUUUUGUUUUGAGACUGGAUUUCUUUGUGUAUCCCUGGCUGUCUAGAUACUUGCUAUGUAGUCAAGGUUGGCAUCAAACACAAGAGAUCUGUCUUUCUUUGCCUUCCAAAUGCUGGGAUUAAUGAUGUUGGCCCGGCAGUGGUGGCACAGGGCUUUCAUCCCAGCACUUGGGGAGGCAGAGGCGGUUGCAUCUCUGAAUUCAAGGCCAGCCUGAUCUACAGAGUUCUAGGGCUAUACCAAGAAACCAUGUCUUGAAAAACAAAAACAAGCAAACAAAGAUGUUGACUGUUCUACUUGUUUUAAACUUAAUUGGCAAGGAAAGUCCGGUGCUGAAAGGAAUUAUGUAUAAUAAAAUUAAAAUUUGUGUGUUGGGUAAGCUUUCAUUUUGGAUUCCUCCUGUGUGUGUGAGACAGGAAAAUGAACCCAGGAUUUGUACCCUACCACUUAACCAUGGCCUUAGUCUUACCUUUCCUCCUUUUAUGACUGGCUUUUUUUUUUUUUUUUUUGCACAAACAAGUUGAAUUCAAUAAAAGGAAAGUAUUCUAUG
rnacentral:lncRNA from 1 species